rnacentral:rRNA from 1 species
GAUGAACGCUGGCGGCGUGCCUAAUACAUGCAAGUCGAGCGAACGGACGAGAAGCUUGCUUCUCUGAUGUUAGCGGCGGACGGGUGAGUAACACGUGGAUAACCUACCUAUAAGACUGGGAUAACUUCGGGAAACCGGAGCUAAUACCGGAUAAUAUUUUGAACCGCAUGGUUCAAAAGUGAAAGACGGUCUUGCUGUCACUUAUAGAUGGAUCCGCGCUGCAUUAGCUAGUUGGUAAGGUAACGGCUUACCAAGGCAACGAUGCAUAGCCGACCUGAGAGGGUGAUCGGCCACACUGGAACUGAGACACGGUCCAGACUCCUACGGGAGGCAGCAGUAGGGAAUCUUCCGCAAUGGGCGAAAGCCUGACGGAGCAACGCCGCGUGAGUGAUGAAGGUCUUCGGAUCGUAAAACUCUGUUAUUAGGGAAGAACAUAUGUGUAAGUAACUGUGCACAUCUUGACGGUACCUAAUCAGAAAGCCACGGCUAACUACGUGCCAGCAGCCGCGGUAAUACGUAGGUGGCAAGCGUUAUCCGGAAUUAUUGGGCGUAAAGCGCGCGUAGGCGGUUUUUUAAGUCUGAUGUGAAAGCCCACGGCUCAACCGUGGAGGGUCAUUGGAAACUGGAAAACUUGAGUGCAGAAGAGGAAAGUGGAAUUCCAUGUGUAGCGGUGAAAUGCGCAGAGAUAUGGAGGAACACCAGUGGCGAAGGCGACUUUCUGGUCUGUAACUGACGCUGAUGUGCGAAAGCGUGGGGAUCAAACAGGAUUAGAUACCCUGGUAGUCCACGCCGUAAACGAUGAGUGCUAAGUGUUAGGGGGUUUCCGCCCCUUAGUGCUGCAGCAAACGCAUUAAGCACUCCGCCUGGGGAGUACGACCGCAAGGUUGAAACUCAAAGGAAUUGACGGGGACCCGCACAAGCGGUGGAGCAUGUGGUUUAAUUCGAAGCAACGCGAAGAACCUUACCAAAUCUUGACAUCCUUUGACAACUCUAGAGAUAGAGCCUUCCCCUUCGGGGGACAAAGUGACAGGUGGUGCAUGGUUGUCGUCAGCUCGUGUCGUGAGAUGUUGGGUUAAGUCCCGCAACGAGCGCAACCCUUAAGCUUAGUUGCCAUCAUUAAGUUGGGCACUCUAAGUUGACUGCCGGUGACAAACCGGAGGAAGGUGGGGAUGACGUCAAAUCAUCAUGCCCCCUAUGAUUUGGGCUACACACGUGCUACAAUGGACAAUACAAAGGGCAGCGAAACCGCGAGGUCAAGCAAAUCCCAUAAAGUUGUUCUCAGUUCGGAUUGUAGUCUGCAACUCGACUACAUGAAGCUGGAAUCGCUAGUAAUCGUAGAUCAGCAUGCUACGGUGAAUACGUUCCCGGGUCU